rnacentral:tRNA from 1 species
GCGAAGGUGGCGGAAUUGGUAGACGCGCUAGCUUCAGGUGUUAGUGUCUACGGACUGGGGUCAAGUCCCCCCCGCACCA